GGGUGUUUUAGGGCGUGGCUAUGAUGUGAUUGACAGUUCUCGGCCUGUCAAUCAUGACAGAGUGUUAGCAAAGCUUGUCCACGGCACCUGAACUUCAUUUUGGGGGUUGACUGUUUCAUCGCUGUGGCUGUGACAUUUUGGUCGGAUAAUAAUAUCUUGUUCAGCGGUCGGUUGCACGGCAAGACACUCAAAGGAAUCGGCAGUUCAGUUUUUCCGACUUCCUUUUGAUGAGGCCAGGCUGAAGCAAUGGUUGGUGAACAUGAGGAGAGAGAGACCAGCAAAUGGAACCACGAAAAGUCACGUCUGCUGUUCACACUUUGAGGAAUAUCAGUUUUUUAGAGACAAGCAGGUAUCCACACUGAAAACUGAAUGAGCAGAGCCUCCAGAAGGAAGACGAGGUGUAUAUAGCCUCCAGAAGGAAGACCUGGUGUAUAGAGCCUCCAGAAGGAAGAC